CCCUAAUGCCAAUGUCUCUUUUAUAUCCUUCACUGGGGGAGCUGGAGAGGUGGAAAGGAGAAGCGGGAAGGGAUUUUGAUUCUCAAAUUUAGUUGGAGUUGGAGAUCAACAUUAAGUUUCUUCUUUGCCUGCACCAUACGGAAAUCACAUUUGAGAAGGAUUUUAUGAUUUUGUAAUGGACAAGAAGCCUAGAAA